rnacentral:rRNA from 1 species
GAUGAACGCUGGCGGCGUGCCUAAUACAUGCAAGUCGAGCGAACAGACGAGGAGCUUGCUCCUCUGACGUUAGCGGCGGACGGGUGAGUAACACGUGGAUAACCUACCUAUAAGACUGGGAUAACUUCGGGAAACCGGAGCUAAUACCGGAUAAUAUAUUGAACCGCAUGGUUCAAUAGUGAAAGACGGUUUUGCUGUCACUUAUAGAUGGAUCCGCGCCGCAUUAGCUAGUUGGUAAGGUAACGGCUUACCAAGGCAACGAUGCGUAGCCGACCUGAGAGGGGGAUGGGCCAACCGGAAAAGGAACACCGGUCCCAACCCCUAGGGGGGGAAGCAGAGGGGAAUUUUCCGAAAGGGGCGAAAGCCGGAGGGAGCAACGCCGGGGGGGGGAAGAAGGGCUUGGGAUCGUAAAACUCUUUUAUUAGGGAAAAAAAAAUGGUUAAGUACAUAUGCCCGUUUUGAGGGUACCUACUCAAAAAGCCACGGCUAACUACGU